AGAGUUUGAUCCUGGCUCAGGAUGAACGCUAGCUACAGGCUUAACACAUGCAAGUCGAGGGGCAGCAUAUCAAAAGCUUGCUUCUGAUGAUGGCGACCGGCGCACGGGUGAGUAACGCGUAUCCAACCUUCCCUAUACUAGAGGAUAGCCCGGCGAAAGUCGGAUUAAUACUCUAUGUUCUUCGUAGAAGACAUCUGAAAUGAAGCAAGGGUUUACCGGUAUAGGAUGGGGAUGCGUCUGAUUAGGUUGUUGGCGGGGUAACGGCCCACCAAGCCCACGAUCAGUAGGGGUUCUGAGAGGAAGGUCCCCCACAUUGGAACUGAGACACGGUCCAAACUCCUACGGGAGGCAGCAGUGAGGAAUAUUGGUCAAUGGACGAGAGUCUGAACCAGCCAAGUAGCGUGCAGGAUGACGGCCCUAUGGGUUGUAAACUGCUUUUAUACAGGGAUAAAGUGACGUACGUGUACGUUUUGUAGGUACUGUAUGAAUAAGGACCGGCUAAUUCCGUGCCAGCCGCUGC
rnacentral:rRNA from 1 species